rnacentral:rRNA from 1 species
GAUGAACGCUGGCGGCGUGCCUAAUACAUGCAAGUAGAACGCUGAAGGAGGAGCUUGCUCUUCUGGAUGAGUUGCGAACGGGUGAGUAACGCGUAGGUAACCUGCCUGGUAGCGGGGGAUAACUAUUGGAAACGAUAGCUAAUACCGCAUGACAACAGUUAUUGCAUGAUAACUGUUUAAAAGGGGCAACUGCUCCACUACCAAAUGGACCUGCGUUGUAUUAGCUAGUUGGUGAGGUAACGGCUAACCAAGGCGACGAUACAUAGCCGACCUGCGAGGGUGAUCGGCCACACUGGGACUGAGACACGGCCCAGACUCCUACGGGAGGCAGCAGUAGGGAAUCUUCGGCAAUAGACGGAAGUCUGACCGAGCAACGCCGCGUGAGUGAAGAAGGUUGUCGGAUCGUAAAGCUCUGUUGUAAGAGAAGAACGAGUGUGAGAGUGGAAAGUUCACACUGUGACGGUAUCUUACCAGAAAGGGACGGCUAACUACGUG